CCUACGGGUGGCAGCAGUGAGGAAUAUUGGUCAAUGGACGAAAGUCUGAACCAGCCACGCCGCGUGCAGGAAGACGGCUCUAUGAGUUUUAAGCUGCUUUUGUACAAGGGUAAACCUGAAUACGUGUAUUCAGAUGAACGUCCUGUACGAUUACGGCUCGGCUAACUCCGUGCCAGCAGCCGCGGUAAUACGGAGGAUCCAAGCGUUAUACGGAUUUAUUGGGUUUAAAGGGUGCGUAGGCGGAUUGAUAAGUUUAAGGUGAAAUGUCGGUGCUUAACUCGGGAACUGCCUCUCAUACUGUUGAUCUAGAGUGUAGAUGCGGUAGGCGGAAUGUAUGGUGUAGCGGUGAAAUGCGUAGAGAUCAGGCAGAACACCGGUGGCGAAGGCAGCUUACCAGUCUAUAUCUGACGUUGAGGCACGAAAGCGUGGGGAGCAAACAGGAUUAGAUACCCUUGUAGUC
rnacentral:rRNA from 1 species